GAGAUGCGUGAUAUGGUUUGUGUGUUUGCUCAGUCAAAUUAUAGUAGUCCAGCUGCGGUUCGAAGAUAUUCACAAUUAUACCCAAAUCGAAAGCAACCCAAUUACAAACUGUACCGAAAUCUUUACAACCGCUUAGGUGAAACGGGGUCUACGAAAAAAAAAUCACUGCCGAUGAAGAAGAUGAAAUUUUAAUUUGUGUUACGGAGAAUCCAGAUAUCAGUACUCGCCGAUUAAGUCUACAAACAGCAGGAAGUUGAAUUACGAAAAUAGUGUCAUUCACAAUCACAUACUUUGAAGACGACCAGUCUAUUACCAGCAAUCAAAAGUCUGCAGUAAGUAAGAAAUAACAAAUUUGAGUAUAGAUUGUAUUGAAGGACUUCAAAAAAGGCUUAGCAUAGUUCAAUUGCAUUCCAACUUUCCUGGAAAAUUGCAGAAGUAGCAAGAAGAAUGUGAACACGAAUCGAAUGCAUAACACACUCAUUCGAAGAAUUGAAAACAACCAGAUUGUUUCCAAUACAUCUUGGAGUGGAGUUCAAAAGUAGUUAGCAGUAAAAAUUUGGUAUCUGAUCUUCUUAUUAAUGUUGGGGAUGGACUGAAAUGAAUUGGAAUGAAGCCAAUUGAGGAUGGUAAAAAACUUGCCGGUCUGAAUAUACACCAAAUAAUCUCCGCAAAGAAUACUGUUAAGAACUCGUUAUUAAAUCAAAAAUUUGGCGGUUGGCCUUAAUAUUUUCUUGUAUUUCAUAGAAGGUCCACCUAUUUACAGCAGGUGGCUACUUCUUUGUUUCUUCGAAUUGUUUUUAUAACCUGUUUAUUUUAUGUUAUGGCUGUUUUUAUCGAGACAAGCUCCAAGAAUGCCUUUUUGAAGCGAACUUUAGGUUUGCAGGAAAUUGAAGAUACCAGAAUGGAUGAUAUUUCAUAUGUCUGUGGUAACAGGAGAGCUGUUAAACAAUUUAAUCUUUUAGUAAACACCAUAUGAUAGUGAAAAGUGUACCAAACGGAGUAUUUAAAUAAAUGUGUUAAGUACAUUGAUGUCUUAAAUAAACAGUUUAGUGUGUAAGUCCUGAUAAAUAUUUUUUGUAUGAAUUAAUUACGUAAGUGUGAUAUAAGGAAUGUAUGAAUCUACUUCGGUGUUUUGUACUCAAAUAUAAUCAAAUUUAUAGAAAUAAUAUUACAAAACUGUACGAUCAAGAACAAAAAUCACUUGAAUUGAUGAGUUCGAUACCAAAUCGAAUGCACCGGAAGAACAAAUCAUCAAAAUAACUGGACAAUUUAUAAGGCCUCCAUUUGGAUGAAGACUAUUAUGCUAAUCUGAUCGAUAGCUUGAGAACCAAACUUCAUGGGAUUAAAUUGCAACAGAUAAAUAUGAUUAUAAUAUACAUUUACCGCACACUCAAGACGGUUUAAGAAGACAAAACUUGCUACAUUGUCCACGACUUGUUAAGUCUUAAAUCCUGUAAAAGAUUCAGUUUUUAGUAUUUUCUCCGAAAUUUUAUGAGAAGGAUCGAAAGUAUUACAUGAUUGAAGUGGAAAGCGACUCGUAUUUAUAUUUUUUUCCUAUAAUCGGUCAACACUAUGUACAAUUAGUACUUGACAGAUCACUAUUAUUAGAGUGUGAAGAAAAAUGCAUUAGUGGUGAAAAUUUUAUUUUAUUUCAAAAUAAUACAAUAUUAAGACUGUGGAAAUUAAUGAUAGCUACAGUUGAGAUCCAGUUAUAUGAAUAAAGUUCCUAAUUUAUGACAAUAACAAGAUAAUGGAAGUUAUUCAAAGUAUUCGGAAUGAGUGGCAAAUUAAUGGGAUUUUCGUGUGAUUAAUGACUUGCAUUCUUUACACUACCCACCAAACCUCAUGGCCUCGAAUAGAUAACAUAAUUAAAUGUUAAUCAGAUUAAAUAAAAAGUUUUCGAGUUUGAAA